ACGAAGUAAACACGUAAUGUGUGUUGCUAAUGUUGGGCCAUGUAAUAUGUAAUACAUUAACGUUUUAAUGAAUAGUCUAACGAUUUAUAGUCAUGGUACUCUAUUGUUAUAAUAUGUCUUUUUGACUGAAUACAUGUUUGUUUUAUUUGUCUAUAUCUUAGAUUCGCAGCUGGACACAUCCUUCUACACUGUAUGCAAACAUGCAACAUCAUAACACACAGUACAAGGAGUCAGACUGGCAUAUGAGGAGCAAAGGAACCCAGGCAGUAGCAUCGUUUCACAAUGUUUCCAUCACCAUCAUCAGUGGAUGCCUUUGCCGUCCGUACCCUGAGAUUUCAGAUUUGCAGCAAAAAAAUUUGAUUUUCUCAUUUAUUGGAAUGCUAUGCAGGUUGUACCUUGCAGCCAUCCAUUACAAUGUCACCAAGCCGUAACAAAAGCAGGAGAGGGAAAGUACAAGGCUAUGUUCCCAAAACACACAAAUGACAUACCUUAUGUGGAUGAUGUGAUCAGGCUUGUGUUUGCUGAGGUAUUUGAAGAUAAGCUGAAGGAAACCCCGAUUCCAAUGGACCUGGCAUCACAGUUUGAGAGACCUUCAAAGGAGGACGUGAUUGCAUGCCAUCUUCAGUGCAG